ensembl:lncRNA
AAGGAAUACUAUUAAUAAUAGCUAGUGCAUACUUCUAAAGUAUUCACCAUGUGUCAGCACUGUCCUAUGCCAGGGAUCAGCAAAUUUUUUCUUUAAGAUAAUAAACAUUUUAGGCUUUAUGGACCAAAAGGCAAAAUUGAAGAUAUUAUGUAAGUUCCUAUACAACCACUUCAAAUACAAUCAUUUAAAACAUUUCAUUUUAAUUCUUAGUUCAUGGAUCAUUAAAAAAAAAAAAUUCCGGCUGCUGGAUGAAUUUGGCUUAUUGGCCAUAAUUUGUUGAUUCUGUUCUAAGAACUUUACAUAUAUUAACUCAUUUAAUCUUUUCAUCCACCUAUGAGGUAGGUACUAUUGAAUCCCUAUUUUAGGAAUAAGGAAAUUGAAGCAAAGAGAAAUUUGGUUACUUCCUGAGAUCAGACAACUGUAUUGUAUUAGUAUAAAUAGUAGAGUCUAGUAUAUGGAAUAUUAUUUUCUCUACGUGCAUUUCCUUCUUUUGAAGGUUCAUAUAUAAUACUUUUUUGUCCACAGUAAAAGACACAUUGAUUGGAAUGUUCCUCUUGUUAGAUAACCUCUCUUUCUGACGUCAAAAUGCUAGGCCUCUUGGAAUCAUGCUGGGGGCUACAGUACGUAAAGAGACAUUGUGUGGAAUUAAAAGUUCCUGCAUUGAACACAAUGAGACUUUUCACUUUGGCAGUUUACAGGCAGAGGUCACUACGGAGUCAACCAUCGUGGUUUCUGACAAGCCUUUUCCAGCUUUGCAGUCCAGAGAUCCUGAGCACGAUCAUCUUCCCUUAUGUCAUUUCCCAUCCCCUUAAAAUUCCCUUGGAUUCACUUUGCAGGGGACAGAAAGGGGAGGUGUGCUUGAUAUGGUGUUUUCUUCAUCUGAGGCCAAGAUGGAGCAACAGGGUAGAAGGAGAAAAUCUUAGAGGAAGCAGGAAAAAGGAGUCUGAGUUGACCACUGAAUGUGAUUUUCUCCUAAUAAUGGUACCCAAACUUCUUUUUCACCAUGGCUGAGUGGCCACCUGCAAAAUCUCCAACCUAAGGGACGGUUUCAUCUACUUCCAGGCAAAACUGACAGUGUGAAAAUACUGGAGUUACUGAGCAAAUUCACUCCAGCCUGUGCUGACUAGAGACUUACAUCUUACAAUUAAGCAGUGUUUUGUCCUGCUUUACAAAUCAGCAGUUUCCUUAUUGCUUAACACAAAUACAUCGUAUCAAAAGGAAAAACAAAUCUUCAUAAAAUAAUAAAACUAUAUAAUGCUACUUGAUACUGCUCUAUCACACUUUGAGAAUUUCGAAGAAUAAUCAUCAUUUAUAGGAAAGGAGAAGUGAUUUGAAAUAGUGAUAUUGCCUGGCCCUUCAAUUUAUAAAGUCACAGCGUAAGAAGAAAUGGCGAAAUACAGAAGGAAAUUGAGUUACAGACUAACCCAGGAUGUUGACAAGUAAAAUCCAGAGGGUUCUGGGUUCUGUGCUGCUUCCAUGUCCUCAAGGGAGCACAUCACUCUCACUGUAGCAGACACUACUACACAGUACCCAUUCUCCCCUUCUUUCUUACUUUAGGGGAAGCAGUUGUGUUCAGGUUAAACACACACCAACACCACUACUAUUUUCUGGCUUUACUUGUAACUCCAGAUGUCUAUGUGACACGGUUGCGAUUUAAGAUGUAAGCGGUGUGUGAUAGGGUGGGUUCCUGGGAAACUUUGUUUAAAGGGAGUAUAUGUGGCAGCCCAUGCCUCUUUCCCUUCAUCCUUUUCCUUCUUUCCUGAAGGCACCAUGUUGGGAAGUAGAGGAGCCAUCUUACAAUCAUGAGGAAGAGUAGCUGAACUAAGGGUGUCAGGGCAAAAGAAAAAAGCCCUGUGUGUUUCAGCAGGUGUCAUUCUGAUCACUUGAGCCCAACACAAUCUCUAACUGACAUAUUCAUCUCUGUAAAUGAGGAACCUCCUUUAAACUGACCAUAGUCACACACGAUAUGUAAAAAGCCAUGAUUCAAGUCCACGUCUAUUUCCCAGGCGCCCAUUCUUUUCGUUCUUUGUCCCUACUGUUUGCCUCUGCUUCCUCAGUUGAGACCUAGAACUUAUGGUGUUUUCCAGUAGCUCACAAUUCCUGGGAAAAGUUCCUAAAAAUGAUUCAUUUCACAAUACUGAAUGACAGACUUACCUCCUGCUUGACCUUGUCAUGCCAAAAGUGAGUUCAAAGGUAUUCUUUGAACUAUUCCUCAUUGAAAUGUUGAGGGAAAUUCAGAGCAAGCUUCCUAAAGAACAGGGCAUUAGAACUGGGCUGUGAAGGUUUCAGGGAUUUCAACCACUGAGGUCAUAGAAGGAAAGGCAUUUCAAGCAAAGAGGAAACUUUGAGUGAAAGCAUAAAGAAGGUCAACUCCAGUUUGGCAGGAGCAAAGGAUAUGUAAAAAACUAUACUCACUUUUUUAAAGUUUUUAUGCACUAAAUAUUUCCAAAAAUGAUUUUGGAGGUGGCAUACACCUCCAAUGGAAAUUCAAUAAAACCACAAAACCAAAAUAAAAAUGGGAAUUAUUUUUAGUGCUGAAUAGUAAACCUGGUAGAAGAUAGUAGUACCAGACAACUUAAACUAAGGAAAUCUUCAGCAGCUGAGUGCAAAACUGAAUUUAACUUUCCAGUAGCAAAAGCAAAAAAACAAGAAUGUAAUGUGUUAUAUUGU